rnacentral:rRNA from 1 species
AUUGAACGCUGGCGGCAUGCCUUACACACGCAAGUCGAACGGCAGCACGGGUGCUUGCACCUGGUGGCGAGUGGCGAACGGGUGAGUAAUACAUCGGAACGUACCUUAUCGUGGGGGAUAACGCAGCGAAAGCUGUGCUAAUACCGCAUACGCCCUGAGGGGGAAAGCGGGGGAUCGCAAGACCUCGCGCGAUUAGGGCGGCCGAUGCCUGAUUAGCUAGUUGGUGGGGUAAAAGCCCACCAAGGCGACGAUCAGUAGCUGGUCUGAGAGGACGAUCAGCCACACUGGGACUGAGACACGGCCCAGACUCCUACGGGAGGCAGCAGUGGGAAUUUUGGACAAUGGGGGCAACCCUGAUCCAGCAAUGCCGCGUGAGUGAAGAAGGCCUUCGGGUUGUAAAGCUCUUUUGUCAGGGAAGAAACACCGGCUCUAACACAGUCCGGGAAUGACGGUACCUGAAGAAUAAGCACCGGCUAACUACGUGCCAGCCGCCGCGGUAA